GAUGCUGCAGCCACUGCUCUCCGACACUGACCGAACGCACCCGAAACGCCAAACCCACGGCCAACCCCUGAGGAGGAGAAAGAAGAAGAGGAUUUGGUGUAAAGAGAUGAACGGUGCAGCCGCCUCUGUCGGCCUGCAGGUGGCAGCACUGCGAGGUGGCAGAUUGAUGGAAAAUGUGACCACAAACCAUCCAAGAGGGGAUUUUCCUGCUGAAUGAAAACCAUCAGGGAGGAGCUCGCGCACACACAGUCUUCACCCCCCCCCCUCCAGUAUAAAACCAGUUUUAACAGGCUUCUCUGGGCUGGUGGAGGAAAUAAACAAUAGGCUGCUGUACAGGAUCCGGACUGAGAGAGAAAACAGAACUGAAUUAGAGAAGUGUGUCUGUUAGCGAACGGGGGUGAGGUUGGCUUUAAGGGGAUGCACAGUAAAAAUGUUUAAAUCUAACCUAAUAUUCUCAGGGAAAGUCCAAAACUUUCAACAAUAAACAAGCAACAAUAAAGCACCGCCAAGUUACCGAGAA